rnacentral:rRNA from 1 species
AACGAACGCUGGCGGCAGGCCUAACACAUGCAAGUCGAACGCCCUAGCAAUAGGGAGUGGCAGACGGGUGAGUAACGCGUGGGAACGUACCCUUCGGUUCGGAAUAAGCCGGGGAAACCUGGUCUAAUACCGGAUACGUGCGAGAGCAGAAAGAUUUAUCGCCGAAGGAUCGGCCCGCGUCCGAUUAGCUAGUUGGUGAGGUAAUGGCUCACCAAGGCGACGAUCGGUAGCUGGUCUGAGAGGAUGAUCAGCCACACUGGGACUGAGACACGGCCCAGACUCCGACGGGAGGCAGCAGUGGGGAAUAUUGGACAAUGGGCGCAAGCCUGAUCCAGCCAUGCCGCGUGAGUGAUGAAGGUCCUAGGGUUGUAAAGCUCUUUCGCCAGGGACGAUAAUGACGGUACCUGGAUAAGAAGCCCCGGCUAACUUCGUGCCAGCCGCCGCGGUAA